GGACAGAGCACCGGAAGCGCCUGCGGUGCUGUGUGGGCUUCUACGAGAGCCGGGGCACCUGUGUCCCGCUCUGCGGCCAGGAGUGCGUCCACGGCCACUGUGUGGCUCCCGAUCGGUGCCAGUGCGCGCAGGGCUGGCGGGGCGGCGACUGCUCCAGUGCGUGUGCCCCAGGCACGUGGGGGCCUCAGUGUGACAAGCCCUGCCACUGCGGGAACAGCAGCUCCUGUGACCCCAAGAGUGGAGCCUGCCUCUGCCCCUCCGGCCUGCAGCCCCCACGCUGCCUCCAGCCCUGCCCCUCCGGCCAGUUCGGUCCUGCCUGUCAGUUACCCUGCCAGUGCCAGGGAGCGCCCUGCGACCCCCGGACCGGAG